UACGUAGGCAGCAAGCGUUGUUCGGAGUUACUGGGCGUAAAGAGUAUGUAGGCGGUUGCGUAAGUUCGGUGUGAAAUCUCCCGGCUUAACUGGGAGGGUGCGCCGAAAACCGCGUGGCUUGAGUGCGGGAGAGGAGAGCGGAAUUCCUGGUGUAGCGGUGAAAUGCGUAGAUAUCAGGAGGAACACCGGCGGUGUAGACGGCUCUCUGGACCGUAACUGACGCUGAGAUACGAAAGCGUGGGGAGCGAACAGG
rnacentral:rRNA from 1 species